UACAGAGGGUGCAAGCGUUAAUCGGAAUUACUGGGCGUAAAGGGCGCGUAGGUGGUUGAUUAAGUCAGAUGUGAAAUCCCUGGGCUUAACCUAGGAAUUGCAUUUGAUACUGGUCAGCUAGAGUGUGGGAGAGGGAAGUGGAAUUUCCAGUGUAGCGGUGAAAUGCGUAGAUAUUGGAAGGAACACCAGUGGCGAAGGCGACUUCCUGGACCACUACUGACACUGAGGCGCGAAAGCGUGGGGAGCGAACAGG
rnacentral:rRNA from 1 species